AAUAGUGAAGUGACUCUGAAGGCAAUGGAUAGGAGAUCGUGAGAGUUGAGCCAUGAUGUUUGAGGAUGUGUUUCGGUAGAUCGAACAGUGAAAGUAGAAUCACUGUUGAGAGAGUAGCCGGUUAGUGGCCGAAUCCGGGCAUGUUGACCUAGAUGGAACACUAUAGAGGCGUAGAGCGCUCGAGUGUAGGUACUCGUAGAGUGCGGAUUUGAUUCAGCUGAGAGAGUGUGAUGGCAGUAG
rnacentral:lncRNA from 1 species